GGGGUUGUGGCUCAGCGGGAGAGCACUCAUCUAGCAUGUGUGAGGCCCUGGGUUCUACCCCAAGCACCACA
rnacentral:tRNA from 1 species